GACUACGGCCAUGCCACCUUGAACGUGCCUGAUCUCUUCUGAUCUCAGAAGCUAAGCAGGGUCAGGCCUGGUUUGUAUUUGGAUGGGAGACCACCUAGGAAGACCAGGUGCUGUAAACA
rnacentral:rRNA from 1 species